CAACAGCUCAAAUUUGAAAUCUGGCCCCCUCGGGGUCCGAAUUGUAAUUUGUAGAGAGUGCUUCGGGCGAGGCCGCGGUCUAAGUCCAUUGGAACAUGGUGUCAUAGAGGGUGAGAAUCCCGUAUGCGACCGUGGCUCGAGCCCAUGUGAAGCCUCUUCGACGAGUCGAGUUGUUUGGGAAUGCAGCUCAAAAUGGGUGGUAAAUUUCAUCUAAAGCUAAAUACUGGCUGGAGACCGAUAGCGCACAAGUAGAGUGAUCGAAAGAUGAAAAGCACUUUGGAAAGAGAGUCAAACAGUACGUGAAAUUGUUGAAAGGGAAGCGCUUGCAACCAGACCUGCCCGUAGGCGAUCAGCCGCUGUUCUCAGCGGUGCACUCGCUCUGCGAAUCAGGCCAGCAUCGGUUUCGGCGGUCGGAUAAAGGCCUUGGGAAUGUAGCUCUCCUCCGGGGAGUCUUAUAGCCCUCGGUGCAAUGCGGCCAGCCGGGACCGAGGACCGCGCUUCGGCUAGGAUGCUGGCGUAAUGGUUGUAAGCGACCCGUCUUGAAACACGGACCAAGGAGUCUAACAUCUAUGCGAGUGUUUGGGUGUCAAACCCAUGCGCGGAAUGAAAGUGAACGGAGGUGAGAACCCUUAAGGGCGCAUCAUCGACCGAUCCAGAUGUCUUCGGAUGGAUUUGAGUAUGAGCAUAGCUGUUGGGACCCGAAAGAUGGUGAACUAUGCCUGAAUAGGGUGAAGCCAGAGAAACUCUGGUGGAGGCUCGCAGCGGUUCUGACGUGCAAAUCGAUCGUCAAAUUUGGGUAUAGGGGCGAAAGACUAAUCGAACUAUCUAGUAGCUGGUUCCUGCCGAAGUUUCCCUCAGGAUAGCAGUAACGUUUUCAGUUUUAUGAGGUAAAGCGAAUGCUUAGAGGCCUUGGGGUUG
rnacentral:rRNA from 1 species